CAUGUGUGUGAGCGAGUGUGUGCACGGACAUGUGCGCACGUGCACACACACACACACACACACACACACACACACACACACACACUUCACAUUU
rnacentral:miRNA from 14 species